UAGUCCUUGGUGGGUGUGGAGGCCUUCUUCUGGCUCUGACGAGGGAUGGCUUUAUCUGAGUUUUUCAGACAGCCAGUCAGUCAGCAAAUCAGUUACUCUAUCACUACAGACACACUCGAGCAGCCCAGCAUGCCACUGACUCAUCAAGCCAUGCAAUCAGCCAUUCAGCAAGCAGGAGGGGCGAGCGGAGAAGCGAGUUGGGGAGCACACACACGAAGGGAGUUACUACACGGAACGCACUGGGAGCAAGGGACGAG
ensembl:lncRNA